UACAGAGACUGCGAGCGUUGUCCGGAUUUAUUGGGCGUAAAGAGCGCGUAGGCGGCCGUUCGCGUCGGAUGUGAAAGCUCGGGGCUCAACCCUGAGAGGCCAUUCGAUACGGGACGGCUAGAGGUAGGUAGGGGAGAUCGGAAUUCCUGGUGUAGCGGUGAAAUGCGCAGAUAUCAGGAGGAACACCGGUGGCGAAGGCGGGUCUCUGGGCCGUAACUGACGCUGAGGAGCGAAAGCGUGGGGAGCGAACAGG
rnacentral:rRNA from 1 species